GGAAUAUUGGUCAAUGGACGAAAGUCUGAACCAGCCAUCCCGCGUGCAGGAUUAAGGUCCUAUGGAUUGUAAACUGCUUUUAGUAGAGAAGAAACGCAUUUAUUUAUGAAUGUCUGACGGUAUCUACAGAAUAAGCACCGGCUAACUCCGUGCCAGCAGCCGCGGUAAUACGGAGGGUGCGAGCGUUAUCCGGAAUCACUGGGUUUAAAGGGUGCGUAGGCGGGUUAUUAAGUCAGUGGUGAAAUCUUGUCGCUUAACGAUAAAAUUGCCAUUGAUACUGAUGAUCUUGAAUUGGGUUGAGGUUAGCGGAAUGUGACAUGUAGCGGUGAAAUGCAUAGAUAUGUCAUGGAACACCAAUUGCGAAGGCAGCUAGCUGGGCCUUGAUUGACGCUGAGGCACGAAAGCGUGGGGAGCAAA
rnacentral:rRNA from 1 species